CACAUGGCAUGAAAAGUCCUGCCUCUGCUGUUUGCAUUUUGAGUCAACAGAUGUGCUUGGUUGAAGAAACUGAUUCAUUUCUUGAUGGGAAGAAAAUUUUUCUUUAUUUGUUCAGUUGUUUUUUUAUGCAUGGGGGUUUCAGUAACUUUGGAGCAGAUAUUUGCCAGGAAGCAUGUAAGUUCUAGAACGUCUGCAAAUAAAGAAGCGGUUGUAAAGAGUGAUCAGCAGGUUAAUGGAGAUGUGAAGCCAGUCCAGAACUUCAGCCCGGUACCGAUCACACAGGCUCCUCAGUACAACCAGAGCAGGGGAGGACAUGGAGACCGAGAACAUCGAAGUGUGUUCAGCCCUCAGAACCCCAUUCGAGUCUCCCUCAAUGGGAUCCCCUGCAUUCUCUUCUGGGCCAGAAGAAUCACAGUCACGUUUGAGAACCAGACCUGGCUGGACCUCACCGAGGGGACAUUUGGGCAGAAGGCAGCAGUGGACACACACAGCUCCAGCUGUGGUGAAGAGCGCGCCACGCUUUAUCUGAAGUUUGGUGAUACUGAAAAUCCCGAAGCCCUUGCUGUGAGGUUUGUCCUCGCCAGCGUCAGCGAUGGUGAGGGCGCCGGGCCGCGCGGGUUCCGGCUGCACCAGGUCGAGGUCCUGCUCAACGGCUCGGCGCAGGCCGCCUUCGCGGCCCCGGGCGUGGGCGCGCCGCCCGGCCUCUCCUUCCGCUGCAGCCGCGUGAGCAGCCUGCGCAGGGACCGGGACCCGGACUGGGAAGGGGACGCGCUGCUGCCGCUGCUGCCGCCCCAGCCCGGCCACGCCAGCUGGGGGCUCACCCUGCUGGGCCUGCAGCUCCAGGGCUUUGCCAUCCGGGGUGGUCAGUUCGCCAAGGCCAGAGACUGCGCCACCUCCUUUUCGCUGGCCAUCCUCAUCGGCCUGGCCAUGUCCCUCGUCCUGCUGCUGGUGCUAGCCUACGCCCUGCACAUGCUCUUCUACCUGCGCUACCUGGACCGGCACUAUGAGUGCAUCGCUGCCUCGCCUGUCCACUUUCGCCAGUCUCGGGCUUGCAGGGGCACCGAGGAGAAGGAGCUGCUCGGGAGCCAAGGCGCAGAGAGCUACGAGCUACAGGGCCAGCAGAUCUGCAGGGUCCACGUCUGACAGCUGCGCCUGCCCUCCUGCGUCUGCCCUGGUGCUCCUGGUCUUGAGGGUGACCUGAUUCAAACAGACUGCAUGGAAAAGGCAAUGGGGACUGGGCGCAAAGCUUCCCCUGGCUGAGUUAGAUUUCUGUGGUUAGUGAGAAGGUCUGCAGGGAUCUUGUCUUGGCGUGAGGAGUAGUAGUUCUCAUUAGUGAGGCAGAGGGAACAGGACGGGGAGGGGGUGAAGUGUAGACACAGGAAAGCGUCCUGGUCCGCCUGGUCUAGCCAAGUGUGGACGUGACAAGUACAGAAACAAUAAACCCAGGGGGAUCCGCAGGUUCAGAAUGGGGUCUGUUUUGUUAUGUACUCUGCCUGUGACCAGAAAUUGUGUUCCAAUUUUUCUUAGGAAGUAGCCUUCUCUCCUGUCAUGGAGCUGUGAGGCUGACCCCUGUCAGCUUGAUAGAGCACCUGGUGAGGGGGCUCCUUAUCAUCCCCUGAGCUUCAGAAGCAGCGUGGUCGCCCUGUGUAGUAGGAGUGAGAGCCUCAGCCACCCUUGCUCUCUGACCCCUGCCCCAGCCCAGAGCUCUUCUCCCUCCUGGGGCUCUGUGCAGAGGGCAGCCUGGUGCAAAGCCCAGGGUGCAGGCUGGAGCAUGUAAAGGGGUCACCAUGGAGAGACGGACUCUGUGUGACCUUGGGGACACGCUCUUCCUUAGAUAGAAGGUGGGUGACACGGACAACAGUGUGUAUGAUAGAGCUGUCUUAUGCUGAACAUUUCUUUUGCUGUAUCGGUGUUGGCUGUGAAUGUAGUUUUGGUUUCAACUCCCCUAGGAUUCUUUAAGUUCAUAAUAUUUUAUAGAAAUUGUCUCUAUGUUUUUACAUCUGAGAAUGCUGUAGUCUGCACCUAAGGGUCUGUGAUAUAUAGAUGUUAGUGCCAAGAUGACUGCAGGCACCAGACCUAAGCAGUGGGAACCCAGGGUUGGUGGCUGAUCCUUUUUGCCUUCAGACAGGUGGACAUUCUCUGGUAUUGGUCUCCCCAAUGGUCCACCCAUGGCCCAUACUAUUCAGUAGUAGGACUAGAUUUUCACUGCUGUUGCUUAGGGUGUCCAUGUGGAAGUCUGGUGCAAAUGGAAGGUGUCAGUGUAUGUUUGAUAGGCAAGGCACAUGAAAGGUAAGUGCAGUCUAGUUUUUACACUAGUAUACUUUUGAAACUAAAAGGGAACACCUUCCAGAUUCCAAGAUCAUAGAUGUGAGUGGUGUCAGACAAACUAGGGUGGAUAGAUAGACAGAUGAAUGCAUAGAUAGAUAGAUAGAUAGAUAGAUAGAUAGAUAGAUAGAUGGGGUUUUCUUAGGCAUGAGUGAGCCACCGUAGGCUAAGCUUGUCUUCCUGACUGCACUGGAUGGUUUACAAAAAGGAAAUAACAAGAUUUUAAAUUCAUGUUCAAAUAUCAGGGGACUUUCUCUGGCUGAUCUAAAUGGGGCUCCUUACCUCCUGUCAAAGGGCUGACUGAGUUAAAAAUCAAUCCCAGGUCUGGCCUUGAAGUAUGCUGACCUGCACUGUUGGUGAAAUUCACACCUCGUCCAACUUCUUAUGUGACCUGGAGGACAGGACAGAGAGCUUGGGGAGAGGAACGGGAGCUGUUGGAGAGGCUGAGACAACUUGAGGAAUACUGGGUUCUCAGACUCCACGCUGCCUUUCUUGUUAGCAGAGGCAGCCCCCUUCAAGUGACGCUGCUCCUGCCUUGCUUGAAGCCACUGUGGCAACCUCAGGAGACACAGCCACCUGGCAGGCAUGCCCUUGCCCUCGUGGGCUUUGGGUGGCUGGAGUCAUGUUCUGGGGUGGCCCGGUGCAAGGUGAAGUCUGGGAGACUAUAAUGGCAGGAAUGGUUUUGCUGUGACUGUAGGGGGAUGGAUUCUGGAGGUGCUGGCUGAGGGGUGAGGUGUAUCAUUUUAUUUAUUUGUUUGUGUUUUCCAGCACCAGGAAUUGAACUCAGGACCUUGCGCUUGCUAGGCAGGCACUGAGCUAUAUCCCCAAUCCAAGGUUUAUCAUUUUAAAUAGACAGAGCUGUUGAGUGUGACCUGACCUUAGGGUGUUGCCUACUUCCUGUCAGGACAGAAGUUUAUACAAAGGCUCAGACAAAUUAAACCUUAUGUCAUCCUUUGCUGGUUUUAUAUCUACAAAUGGUACAGUUUUUUUUGAAAGGGUUUAAUAAUAUGAAAGUUGAGCAUGUUCUAAGGGAACAUGGCUACUGGAUUUUUUGUUUGCUCCUGUUUUCCCAGCUGCGGUGUUAUAAAGAAAUGGCUCGUGUACAGUGCACCCCUGUACUGCACAACCUUUGUUCCAUUCCUCGGGGCUCUGUAGUCCUCUCUUACUUCGCAAUGACUACUACAGGAACAUUCACAGGAAGCAGUGAUAAACACCAGGCUCCAGACAAUCCCCAGCUAGCAUAUUGAGGUUUCUGAGCUAAAUGGACAUUAUGAGCAUAUUAAUGUCCAAAUGUGGCAGUGAUAUUAUGGGCAUAAUCUCUGAUUUAAGUACAAAGUAUUAAACAUCACUGCUGCCACACUGCAUGGACACCCCACCAAGCUGAGUGCUUUUUGCAGUUUUGGAGCUCCAGUGCCAGAGGGAAGGAGCCAAGGAAAGGUUAAAAAAGUAACCCCCCCACCAAGAGAGGAGAAAGUCGCUGGAGCUAAACCUUGGUGUUACACGAUUCCAUUCCUGCAGUGACAGUGGAAAAGGAAGGAGCCACUUUGCUCAGUGAAAAUAUAGAGGUCCCACCCUUAGGGUAGAGUAUGAACAGCUGUCCCUCCUACAUCCGUCCAGGCCUCACGUCUCAGAGAUCAGAAAGACAAUGAAAUGGAUAAAGUGAUCUUCCUUCUCAUGCGACACUUUGCAACCACCUGCCCUUCUUUCAGAUCUCUGUCUAUGUGGUAGAACUCACAGCUUUUACCUCCUGGAUCAGCACUUCUAAGGACCAGAUGGUACCAGAGUAAAAACUCUGGUUCGGUACACAAAUUUCAAGGUAGUUUGGGUCUUCUGAUAUUUAUUUUUGUUAAGGAAAAGUAGGACAAAUACAAGCAGUCAUAGUUAGUAGUUACAAUAGUUUACACUUUUGCAGGACAUGGAACUCUGGGACUGGCUACUCAGAUGUCGCCAAAUUGGCCUUAAGGAAUGAACCUGUGAUUUUCUUUCCCAGCAAAGUGAUUUGUGUCCCUAUAGUGAGAGGAAUGAGUCUACUCCCCGUAUGCUGGGCAUCCAGCAGGCAGGGGGGAGGGAGGCAGGAUGACUUGCAUUCUUGUUCCUUCUAGGUCUGAUCUCCUGAUGCUCUUGGGUUUCAGUCACUGCUCGGUCCUCAUCUCCUCCUGUUGCUCUCAGGGUCUGCAGCUGCUGCCUGGUGUGGGCAGGGGCAUCACGAGAAAGUCGGGGGACAAGAUAACACAGCUUGGGCAGGAGGUGCUUCCACAUUCUCUGGUCAUGGGAACCUGAUGCCUUUUCCCCAUUACAUGUUUUUCUUUUGGUCUUGAAUUUUUACCAUCUUGGGGGCUGUCCUGUUUUGUUCCUCCAAAUUCUUUAUCUCUCUAAUAUCAUGGAUCUACAAACCUUCUCUUCCAAGCCCACAGUGGGAUUUGAAACUUCAUUCUUUGUUAGAACUCUUUUUAUGGAGGUUGGACCUAAGGAUCUCAUUUUUCAUGGCCAAUUGCUCGAAAUACACUAUUAUUCUCAUAGAGGAAAGCAUAUCUACAUAGAAACUUUUUAAAGUCACCCAACUCAAACUGAAGCCAUGUCUAAAACAGCAGCUUUUCAUCUAUUAAUUAGUAUUUCCUUUUCUCAUCCAUAAAUCACCCACCUGUCCAUCCAUCUGUCCAUCUGUUCAUCCAACUACUCAUCCAUCUACUCACUUGCCCAUCCAUCUAGCCAUGUUCUGUUACUAUGUAAAAUGAACAUGAUUUUACAAUGUUAAAAAACCAUAAAAGGUGCUUAAAAGUCUAUAACUUUAGGCUAUGAAAGAUCUGUAUUAGCUCUUUCAUGUAGAAGCUAUCACAGAAAACCUUAGAAAGGUGAAGAAUUUUUUGCUCUUUACAAAACAUUUUUCUGUAGAACACACAUUAUUAUAGUUUUUGGUUAAGGAGCUAAGAUUUAUUUCCAAUAAUGACAAAGUGUUUCCUAACAUGUUACAGUGCAGCUACAGUGAUGAAUGUUUUCUAACAUGUUUUUUUCCAGCAAAGGCAUCAUCUUGAGUAAAAUUGAUCACUAGACUUACAAAUUUAUUGUCACAUUUAUGUGAAACAUUGAACAUAAAAAUUUAUUCAGUCAUUUCCAGUUCUUCUCCUCAAGCAAGGAGAAGCAAGGCACAUUCCCAUCCUGCCUCACUGAAUCAUUCUAAUGAGGGCUAAGGACCUACGUGUGUUAUUAAUAUUUCUCACUCUCUGUCCUGUGUCCAGGAAAAUCUUCCUGGAGAAGUUUUGACAAAUGUGCGAAGUAUAGUUAGCACUCAGCUUCUUUCUCCAGCUCCCAGGCCCCGUUCUCUCUCCCUUCUUGUUGAGGAUGUAGGUAUUCCAAGGCUGAGCCGAGUUUCCAGUGCACUGCCCUCCUUACUCCGUGUGAACUAGCACCAGGACAGCACUGCUGGGGCUCACUUCGUGUUUAAAUGUCUUGUGGUUAGAACGUGGAACUUGACCUUCUCCACCCAUCAGUAGUUUACAUCUUUUUCAUCCUGCAGCUGCAAACGGGUUGUUUGUUAACAGGGAAAUCAACUCCCACCUUAUCUCAAAUACAAGAAGAGUUCCACAGGGACAGAGGCAGGUUUUGAAGCGUUCGCUGCUAGAAGGCCUUCUUUAGGGAAAAAGAUGUGAAAUCCCACACAUGAACUAGUGAUAAAUGUGCUUCUUUAGUAAGAAAAACCACAUAGAGAAAGUUGACUAUGCCUUAAAAAGCUUGUUUUUCAACUUUUAAAAAUUGUAUGUUAUGUUUUUAUUUUUCAACUUUUAGAAAAAUAUACACUCAUGACACACACUACUAGGGACUGCUCCAGGGGCACAGGAAAUGGGUACGUGUACGGAGAUUUAUGUAUGUGUGCAUGCACGUGUAUUAAUGUUUUGUUUUGUAGAUUUGACCUUACAUGUUUAGAUAGUCCCUGCAAGCCUGUGGUCUCCAUGUUCGACACGUGGAGGGCAGGGGUUUAAGAAGGGAAGAUGGGUAUAAAAUACAGGUCAGGACAAGCUGAAAUGCACAAGGAGGAGCUGGUAGGGAAGUGGAGACCCUGAAGGAGGUUGCAGAGAAAGGCAGAGAAACUGUCGGCUUGGGUGUUGCCUUGACCUUUAGAAAUUUAAAAACCAGUGCAGUGGUUGCUUCACUUCCAACUUCUAAAGGCCAUGUAAAUAAGUCUCUUAAGUAUGGUCCACCUUAGUGGGAAGUAGGGAAGAGAAUUCUGGGAAAUUCAGUGGUGGUGGUGGUUGAGCUUAAUUGUAUAACUUAAUUUGCUGGGGAGCCACCUAGGGGAUUAAUAAACCACAUUUUUGUGAGUCUCAGUGAGUCGUGAAGGUAUUGUCUUGGGCGCCAUAUGCGAUCCCUUGCCCCCUUUCCGCUGGCAUUGUCCUCUAGCUCUGUUCCCCAGCAGCCAUGAGCUAUGCAGCUUUUCUUUGCCAUCCCCUUUCACUAGGAUGUUUCUGUCAGUCAACCAUGAACUGAAUCUCCUGAAACUAUAAGUCUAGUUAAAGUUUUAGGCUCCUCUAAGUCCUUUAAAUUUUGGGAAUCAAGUGCCAGAGACAAGAAAACUGACUAAUACUGUGGUUCAGAUAUAGUUUGAGUAUCCCCCCUGAGGUAUAUGUUGACAUUUAGUUUCCUUUGCAAGGUCUUGAGCUGGCUAUGAUGGUUAGAGAUAUGGCCUUUGGGAAGUGAUCAAGACAUGAUCACUAGGGGGUAACCUUCAUGGAUGUGUCCCUGUGGGGUUAGGAGGAGAUGGAGAUACAUGUGAGCACACACAUGUACAAAUACACAUGCACAUGCAAUGCACAUGCAUAUCCAUACACUCCCUGCCUCUGGUCCCAUGAUGCCCUAGACCACCUAGCACUCAAACAACAAGGCCAUUACCAGGUGAUUCCUUCUGACCUUGCACCUUCAGCACUGCGAGCCAAAGAUAAAGAUCAUUUCCCUAUAAAGAAGUGCCUUGGGUAUUUUGGUCCAGCCAUGCAAAGCUGGCUAGUACACAUAAUUCAGCCUUCCUGUGUGAAACUACCAAAGUCUUUCAUCAAUUCAACACUCACACACAUUUCAUUGUAGCUAAAAAGAGUCCACCAAAAAUUGUAUACACACUUCAGGAAAAGAAAAACUUGUAUAACUAUUUUAAUACUAACUUUACUGAGAUGCCAUGAGAUUAAUAAAGUUAUUUUAGCCUCUACAAUUGCAGUGUUCAAAAUGGUGCGCAUUAACUUCCAGACAUUUAUUACUGUGACAAAGCAUUGCAUGGGUAACCUUGGUCACUGAGAAGUCCAUGCAUGCAUGUUCAGUUUCUUCCCUAAGGGCCAACAGUAUAGUGGGUUUUCUGUGAUACACAGCAUCCUCCAGGGUCCCACAAUAUGAGACUAACAACAUCUGCUAAAAGGAUCAUAACUAUUUCUCCUUUUCCUGACUUGUGCAUACAUUUCUUGGUGGACUCUGUAUUUAAAUGAUGACAUUAACAAAGUCAUACCUAACAUGAUGUAUACCAACUCUGUACAACAAUAGCAUAUUGAUCUUUUGUGUUUUUAGUCAUGUUCAUUUUUAGGUUACUUAGUCUCCUCAAAAUCAUGUAACUUCUACUCUGAGAUAUAGGUUAACAAUGCAUUUCAUGUUAGGUGGCAAAAGAAUGGGAGAAAAAAGGAAAAAAAUGAUUAAUAUAGACACAGACAUGUUCACAGCACAAGGAAGAAGGCAUUCUCAUACCGACCAGGAGUACUGCAGCAUCUCAACUUCCAGUGGAAGAAGUUGAUGAUUUAUCUCUUGGUGGAAGCAUCUGAGUUAUUUUAGAAGUAAGAAAUCUGAUGCAUUUGAGUCUUGUGUUGCAGGCAAGGGAAGCAAUAUCUUAGUGACUCCUCAGUAGUGAGGAAGCUUACACUUAUUUUUGCUCCUUAAUUCCCAGAUUCAUGAAAACCAGUUAAGAGAGAAACACCAUGAUAGUGCUUGUUAAUUUAGAGUAUAUGCUACAUCCUGGGUACUGCUCCAGCUCUGAAAGUCGCUGUCACACAGUCGAGAUCAGGACUGAGCCUUGUUUUGUCAAGCCAGAUGCUUCCCACGGUAAAUUCGUCAAUUUCGUGAACCUAUGUCCAUUGGCUGUAGUGAACUUGCUGUGAAACACACACUUCGGCUGGAGUACUGCGGUGAAAUACCAUGAUGGUGGACCAGUCAUUCUCUAAAUCCAGGGACUGAUUUGAGAAAAACAUUGCAGUCAAGGACAACAGCUCCACAUCUACAGUUAAAUAUUUAUCCAAUAGGAGCGAAGUGUCUUCUUCCAUGAUGGAAGCUGGCCGGUCCUCUCUACAGUAGGACACGUUCCAUUGGGCACUCAGCCGCUCUGGAACAGAAAUGAAGUUGAAACUUGUCCUUCACUAAGUCUUUGGCCAAGGAACCCACGCGUGCUUAAGUCGCUCUCUGUCCCCUCAGCCAGACACAAGUAGGGAAAUGGCCAGCAGGAAAGAGGAGUGGACUCAAAAGGCUUAUUCACAAAUCUCAUGGUCAUUGUGUUAUUUUUCCUUGGCACGCGGACUUCAGCAAUCUAUAGGAGAAGGAAGCCAUUCUGCAGUAAGCAGCCAGCUACUCUUUCACAGUGGUUGUCUUUCCUUGUGCUGUAAGAUUAACCACCCACCCAAGCCCAUGCCACACCUUCCCAAAUGUAACUUUUAGCUGGUAACUGACAAAAGAAGUAGAAAUUUCAGAGAAUUCUAUAGCCCUUCAAAGCUAUUGUCUCCAAAAGUGAUGAUUUACAGUAGACCUGAGUGAGAAAUACGGCUGCAGAAAAGAUCCCUGCAGAGCAGUGACCUCCGGCCAGCAACCUGCAACUGAAACGUGGUGUUUUGCAUAGUUCACCUCUCACUUAGGGGAGAUGGAGAUGAUAGAUGAGUUCUACAUGGCCUCAUGGCCCCCAUGGGGGUUACCAAGAGAGUGGAAGGCCAGGGUUUCCCUUCUGGGUCUGCAAUAUGUCCUGAAUGCAAACAGCACACACGCCCCCGGAAACUGGAAUAUACCUCGUUUGUGGCGGGGCAGAUGGAAUGCACCAGGAUUGUAAGCUGCCAGUUUGUUCCGGAACUAUGACUGCUAUCUGUUGAAGAAGGCUUCAAAAAUGACUUCCAAGUUAAUGUAAUCCCGGAGAGUUUUGUAGCUCUCUGCCAUGCAUCAUGGCAAUCCCGACACAAUUCUGGAAAAAGUAUGCAUAUGGAUACACACAUAUGUGUCUAUCCUAUAAUAUAUAUGGGGUUAUGGCAGGGCUGGGGGAAACUUUAAUUCACUAGUUAGAGAAAUUCAAAAACACAAAAUGAAACAGUGGUUUUAAAUGAGAUUGGCUAUCGUAAUUAGUCCCAGAUGGUUCCUUUGUAGUUAGCAAGUUCUCCCCACAUAGACUCAUUUCUUUGUUUGAAUGUUGAAAAAAGCAGGACAUGUCCUCCAUAGUGUACCCUGCACAGGCACAAAUGUGCUGGACCCACCACUACAACCUCGGAACCAGAGCUCUUUCCUCCAGGUUUUCUGCAUGUGCUUUUGGUAAAGGAAAAGAUUUCCCUUCUGUAUGGCUUGUCUUGUCCAAGCUCCUCACAGCCCUUGGGGUCGUGGCCUCCUAAGUCUCUGGGUGUCAUCCACGUUUGUCCUGGGAAACCAGGACGUGCUGACCCAGAUGGAGAGCUCCAAUUCCGAUAGAGCGUGACCAGGUAGAUCAGGACAGGUGCACUGAAGCAAAUUCAUGGAAAACAAGGAAAGGAAGCCAAAGAAAGCCCAUGGCUGAUUGCCAGAGGGGAUUCAUCUUUAGUUUUUCAUCGAUGUCAGUUUUCUCUUGGUAUCUCCAACUUGUCAGAAAAACUAAAUUUGUUUCCAGUUCUAUUCAGCUCACAAGUUUUAGCCAUUAAACUACUUAAUGGGUUACAGUCAUCUGUGAAGAGAAUGUAGAUACACCCAAUAUUUUCCUAUAAACUAUUUCCCCUAAAUCUGGAUUUCUUUGUUGUUGGGAGUCCAAGGUUCUUUUCAAAACUUUCAAAAUAUUUCCAUUUUAAGAAGAUAGAUUAACGCCCACAAUCUGUUUCUCCCUCACACAGAGAAAACUUAGGAUGCACUGCUUUUGCAUCAGCUGGGAUUUGAUUCAGGACCGGAGGAGGCGGGGACCACCUCCCUGCAAGCAGAUGUUGGGUUUCUCAAGGUCUGGGCGGUAGAGAACAAGGGGUGGACUGAAACAUUUUUGGAUCCACUUACAUUUCGAGCCAGGGAUAUGUGUUUAUUACACCCUAUUUGGGUGAAUAAAUGUUUCCUUCCUCUCUCUAAACACAUCAUGUUCUAUGCCUUCUAUUUUAGAUGAGUAACAUAAUAAAGUGUAACUCAUUUCAAAAUAAAUGCAAAACGUGAUCGACCAGGGACUCUAACUAAAACUAAUUUUUCUCAUGGAGUAGAGAUUAAUCAUUAUAGGGAAUCACCAGAUUCUUAGUAGAAAGCAGGCUAUUUACAGAUCAUAUAAAACAUGACAGCUGUUAGUUUUGUGUGGAAUAUCUUGUGGAAAAAGCAACAUAUCUUUCCUGCUUUUGAAAUAACAGAAUAAUUGCCAAAAAUCUUUGCUUUUUCCCUUUGUGUACAUAGACCACAAACCUGAAAAUCUGAAGUAUGAAUAUUUAUUUUACUUGCAGAUAUAGAAACACUGUAUUCCUUCAUAAUUUGCAUUUCCCUCACAGGCUAUCUUGCUGCUAUAGAUAAUUUAAACAAAUAUGUAAGGACCAGGGAUUUAGCUCAGUGGUACAGUGCCUGCCUGGCAAGUGUGAGAUCUUGAGGUCAUGAGUUCAUGAGGUUGUGAGUUCGAGCCCCAGUACAAAAUAUAGCAAACCAAACAAUGUAAAAAGUGACCGACCAGCAGCUUGAUGUAAGCUUAGCAUUCUCUUAUUAUUGUCAGGUAACACUGAUUGUGCAGGGAGAGGUUAUUAAAUGCCUGUACAGCACAAUGGUGUCUAAAUUGUACUAUUGAAGGGGAAAGGUAAGAGAUGUAAAGAGAGAUAAGAUGCAUUACAGAUGCGUACCAACUCCUUCCAGUGAAUGGGUCAUUAUGUAUUGCACACAUGAACCAAUACAAAUACAAUUUAAAAUAUACAAUGAAAAAUCAUGUAGAUAGUAAAUUAUAGUAUAUUAUUUAUUAAUACUCAUAUUUUACUAAUGGUCACACACACUGUUUAUUUCAGUGUUGUUGCCUAUAAAUUCAUACAGAUUCCUAGGCCUAAGUAUUAUUGUUAGGAGGCUCAUAACAACUCGCUAGAGCUGAUCUUCCAACUUCUGUGUUUUCUUGGAGCUUAGGAACAUGAAAGAGCUGACAUUAGAAGCGUGAGAAACUGGGGAACUUGUCAUGUUUUUGCUCAGAAGCAGAUGCUAACAGGCUGAUCUCACAGAGGUAGCGUGUGAUCACUGGAGUCUGCUGGGGGUAGAGAGAAGGAGUUCCAGGGCAUGGUUAGUGGCAACCAGGGAGCAGUUGUAUAGGAGAAAUAAUUUCUCAGGCUCUAUAGCAGAAUAGGGUAAAUAUGGCUGGCAACAAUUAGCUGUAUAUUUCAGAAAGCUAUUAGAAAGAAUUUUUAAUACUCCUAACAAAGAAAUUACAAAUGUUCGAGUUGAUGGAUAUAUCAGUUACUUCGAUCAUUCUACAUCGUGCGCAUGUAUUGAAAUGUCACGUUGUACCCAUAAAUGUGUACAAUUACAUCAACAAAAAUACUUAAAAUUUAGUUUGGUAUUGUUGAAGAAUAAAUGCUAUAGGUCAGAAAGCAAGCACGAAGUGUCUACUGUUGUUAGUAUGCAUAGUAUUUGUCAUCUUAACGUCAAUACUUGUAAUAAGCAGAUCCAAUUCAUUGAUUGAUUUGCUCAUUUAUUCAACAGAGAUAAAAAGCACCUACUAUGUGCCAGGUACUCUGGUAGGUCCAAGAAACAUUAGUGAUAAAGUUCAGGUACAGGCUCAGUGCCUGGUGGGCUAACAGCUCACAUUUGCUGAAGGCUACGUCUCCAGGCACCUCUGGGACACUGAUGUUUCACUGAGCUGUAACCCAUGCAGUUGUGUUUCAGAGCCUGCACUCCUAGUGGAAGUCAAGGGGAUGAAAAUGAUCCCCAUCCUGCUGCUUGCUCGUGCUCUUGAACCUGGAGAGCAGAGUCCAGGAAAGGGACACGUAAGACUACAGUGGAAGAGGAUCCAGCUGUCCAGGACAGGGGCUUAUCUGUUCCGGGGUGAGAGAGCUGGACAUGUGACAGCACCAUGAAGGUGACAGCUUAAUCACCAUGAAGGUGAUUAAGGAACAGUGGGGUCUGAGUUCCUCUGGCUUUCAGUUACUGCAGCAACAUCAGCUCCAGCUUGGGAAAGAAACACAAACUGACUCCAGGAGAACACUGUACCUCUGGGCCUUCUUCUUUUGCUUUUAGAUCUUUCCAUAUCUUCUCUCAUUUAGAAAAAGUACACCUUUCUUGAGAUUGUUGCUGCAUGGGUUGAGGAAUACAAGAGAAACCUUGGUGACGAUGAAAUGCAGGAAGGGCUUUUGUGAAGGGAAUUGACAUGCACUUCCGGUGGUCUCCAGAGUAACUCAGACACGCCCUUCCUGGAGUGGAUGGCAUGGUUUGAAUAUGUACUAUCUUGUCAUAAGCUUUUGCUUUUUUGCUUUUUAAAACAUUUCAUCCUCAUUUUCCGAUGAUGUUAUCUACGAAUCUUUAGAGUAGACAUCCACUGAUGCCAGUAUUGGGUGCUAGAAAUAAGGGUGAGCUGUUUGGGACACAUGAGGGAAAGUGGCCAGUGACUCUCCUCUAAGGCUUUGUCUUUCAUCAGUGGAAGAUGUGAUUAAUUCAGCCACAUAAUACAGUGGUUAGAACCAUGCUGCGUAGAAGCUCUCCUCAUCUGUCACUAUCAACCCAAAGAUGGGUGGAUCAUGCGGAGGAACUUCUGUUAGUAAACUUUAAACUGAAGUGAAGCCUACCCCAUUCUCUCUUCCUCAGAGGAACAGACAUUCUUCUAGGGGCAUACCAGUCCUAUCCCAUCCCAAAUCAGUGUCAUUCCCAGAAUAGCUCUGGGCUCUUGCUAAGUACUUGGCAAACAAACCCAGCUAAGAAUAGUGCCCACUCUCAGUGGGCUGACACAGGAACUCACAGCUCUGCUGGAGUCAGAUAAGCACAACUUUUUCCCAAGAGCUUUGUCCAAGUGAGGCUGAAGAGAAGCAACCUGAUAAAGACCCAGAUUGGGUCAGUCUAAGAAUUCCACCAUCUACAAAAUGGCUCAUGUGAUGGGAGAUUAGAGUAGGAAUGUCUGGGGUUUGCCCAGCUGUGGCAGCAAUGCCCAUUCAGCACCCUGGGCACCCAAAGGCUUCCAUGAACUGUGACUGACAGUCAAAUAAAAAAUUCGCUCCUAAUAGGUCACACAUCUUAAAUGCCAGUUAGUGCUCUGUGACCUCUCCCAUGAGUUCUGCUGAGACUUUAGAAAGUGAAAGCUCUGCCUUGCUUCUUUAAGCCAGAAAGAUCUGUCUGCUUCUUAAUAGGUUCAGUUAUUACUGUUAGUCCCGCAUUGUUAUGGUUUAUAUCUAGACAGGCCCAUCUCAUGCUCUCAUACUCUGGGCUUUUGGGAAGUGACUGGAUUAUGGGGGCUUCUAGAUAAUUUGCUAUUAGGAAGUGGAGUCUGGUUGGAAGAGGCAAGUUACAGGGGGCGUGACCGGAAGGACUUAUCCUCGCUCCUCCCAUCCCUUUCUCUUCCUCUACACCUUGCCGUGAGGAGCUUUUCCUUUUCUGUGUCUCUCUAAUCAUUGCCCUGCCUUAGCACCCGCCAACUAUGGGCUGAAAUGUGAGCUGUAAUAAACCUCUCUUGCUUUAAGUUGUGGGUGUCUGAUAUUGUGUCCCAGCAAUCAGGAAAGUAACUAAGACAAAUACUGCUCCUGAUUCUCAUCUCUAGCGAUCUUGAGAGAACACGAUUUUCUUUGCAUUUUUUUUAAUGAGAAACAAAAAGUUCAAUGAGAACCUACUCAUGAUGAUUCAGACUUCACUGGUGGCUGAGGUACAGUGAGAUCCCAGGUCUUUGGGUUUCCCUUUGUGAUACCAUCUCUCACACCAUCUCUGCCCAAUGCCUAAACUACAAGGCCUGGCCUCCCUCACCUGCUCUUUCUCAAGGGUCUGUUUUAAUUUGCCCAGGAAAAAGUCUUUUGGGCUAGAAAUAACCCUCAACCUAUGGUACAAUGUUUGAGGCAAAUAUCCUAAUUUUUCCUAGCACCAAAACAGAUCAUUUCAAUAUGCCUUGUGUGAUCGUCUGUAACCAUGAGAUGUAACCUUGAGACUAUCACAAUAUUGUCUUCCUGGGGCACUAACUAUUGUUUCAGCUUGGCUACAUGUGCUUGACAUACAUGGUUUGCAUUUAGACUGCCUGGUGCGGUCUGCUCUGGCCUGAAUUAUUCCAUCCAAGUUAUAAUUUUUUCUUUCUUUGGCAUCCAUUAAAAAUCAUCAGCAACAUGGCCACUCUCCAGAAACACUUCUGCAAUGCCAAGCAUAGGACUUGGUGUCUAAAAAUAAGAAUCAAAAGGGAUUUAAAUUAAUGCCCAGAAAAAAUCUUUCCAUGUGUCCUUACUACAGUUUGGUAAGACCUGUUCUAGGGAAAAGUGUGAAAUACAUGAAGCUGUUGGUGCUGCUUCCUGUGAGAGGUUUGGCUGAGUGGUUGGUGAAUGCUAGUCUCUGUCUGUCUCUUUCCUGAGCCUGGAGGUCAGGCCAGGUCAGGCCAGGCCAGGAGAGACCCUCAUGCUGGGUUCCCAGGAAGAAGCCCGCUUCUCAUUCAGGAUUCCUGACUCCUGAAGAUUGUGUAUCUACGUGCUUCCUUUACAGAACUGAUUAAACUUGCCAAAUGAUGAAACCAAAUAAGGAAAAGUGUGGGCGGUUUAAAAUCGGUUUGACAUUUAGUAUGGAAACUAUAAAAGUCAAAAAAUCAAAAUCAGAAUUAAUUAGCUGGGAUCUCCGAACCUUUCUUCCAUCAAAUACUCCCAGUUCAUUUUAUAUCCUAAAAUAAAUCCCUCUUACCUACCUUUUAUUAGUAUUUGCUCAGAUUUCCCUUAUGAUUUCUACCCCCUGAUUUUUAAGUAGGUAGUUUUAUGAUGAAGCCCACAUAGUUGCUUAUAAUCCCAAAUGUGUUACUGUUGGAGCACAAUUGGUUACAAUGUAGGGACACAUUUAUACGAUAGCAAACUUAAAGGUACUUUAUGAUCAAUUAGAGGUUGUCAUGGAUUAAAAACUGGUGGUCAACUUAACACUAGCUGAAUUAAAUCAGCAUGGUGCUGAGUGUAGAUGUGCCACCUGAGGAAAGUUGCCAGCAUAGAGAUGUGGAGAAGAGGAGUGAGGCAUUGUGGGUUUCUCUAGUGUUGCUGUUUUGAGCCAUUGGUUCUCCUAAAGGAGCUCAUCAUGCUGGCUUCCCCAGUGUGAUUUCAACCAUUGUCAUCAGAGGAGCUCAGGACCUUGUUGGUAAGAGUGGCUGUGGUUCACUUUGGGGGAGCUCUGGUCCUUACAUUGAACAUCACUUCCUGAGUCUGGAGGGGGUGAUGUGUGCUGUUUGAUCUCCAGGAGAAACUCGUCACACUGGCUUUCUGACAGGUACUUGACUGUUCUUAUUGUUGGAGGAGCUUGGGACCUCCAUGUUGCUGAGGAUGGCUGUUCCUUCUCAGGACAUCCCUGGUCUUUAUUUUGAGCGUGACUUCUCGGCUCCAGUGUAGAACCCUCAACCCACCAGCACAGCUCCUUCAUCCCGCUGGCAUAGACUUUUAGCUUUACCGCUGACCUUUGGGCCUUCCCAGUGUGGAUCUAUAAAACAGACUGGCCUGAGUCCUUCUCGUGGGCUCUAGACCUCCAAUUGGAUUCGUGGGAGGCGUUGUCAUGGGCUCUAGGUUUUCAUCUGGACUCAUGCAGGACAUUGCAGUGUGAUCCGGAUCUUUGGCUGAAUAUUCUGAGUGUUGUGGACAGAUUUCCUGCACUUUCUUGUGUUAAACUCUGGGUGACCAUCAUAAAAUAAUAGUAUAAAUUGUGUCCUGUUUCUAACUAUUCUCUGCACAAUCCCUAACUACAACAGAGGUCUUGGACCAAGUUUCUGUUCUGCUGAAUUUAGUUGACCUUGAUGCUGUCUACAGCACAGCUGCACACCUCUGAUGAGCACUGAGUCUAUACUUGAAGACACCCGGGGCUAAUUCAAGGGCCCACUCUCUUAUGGUAAUACAUUUAACUAAGCUCACUCUGUAAGGGCCCCCUCCCCUUGUUCCCAGAGUAUUUCUAUAUUAUGACAAACAAUUCCUGUGUUUCAAGAACAGCCUGCCUAUCAAUAUGUGACUCACUGUUUGUAACCAAUUACAUAAUGUUUAGUCACGUGCUUUGUAGCUCCGACUUCUAAAUUUUAUAUAAACUAAGCUUUUCCUAAAUUCAGUGCUGUUACUCUUGAGGAAUUAUCCUGCACCAGUGCACUGGCUUGAAGAUCCAAUAGUCUGCUGCCGUAAGGAUUAAAUGUUGCCUUCUUAUCUCCUCGGUGCAAAGAGUCUUCCUUUUGGCUUGGUUUGGUUUGGUUUGGCUUAGCUUGGAAAUUUUCCCAUAACAUUUCUCAUCUGGCCUCUCAUUUGCUUCUCUUUUCCCUUCUUCCUUCUCUUUCUCCUUCCCUCCUUUUGUGCAUACAAAAUCCACAUUCUUGGGGCAGGCUGUUAGGGAUUAUCAACAAUUACAGAUAUUUUUACUGAAAGAUGCAAAAGUAAAAAUCAGGCUGAGUCUGAAGAUGAGACAGUAACCCCAUGUGUGUGUCCUGACAACCCGCUUUCUUCUGAUUCCAUUUUCAGAGCUUUUUACUAUGUGAUCAGAGAAGAGUCAUGAGUGCUCAGCCCCAGAAUAACAGGCAGGACAAUUCCACAGCUGCUCUUUCUCAGUAGUCUAUAAACAGCUGUUCACAUUCUUGCCCAGAUUUCAAUCUAGGUGAAUUUAGUGGCUCACCAAGCUUUGGAAUGCCUCAGCUGUACUGCUGUUUUCUAAAAGGAACUUUAAUUUCUUGCUUUCUAAUCUUGUGGCUGCUUUGUCUACUGUGGAUUCAUAUACAUAUAUGACUUAAUUAUUCUUCCCCAGAAUAGUUGUGCUGGGAGUGUUUUGGCCUCAUGUAUUUCUAGCAGACACUCUUCUGUGUGCAGAGUACAAUGUCCAGAGUCAAGGAUUUUAUUUUAUACUUUGCAGCACUGUAAUUAAACUCAGGGCACAUACAAGAAACACACUCUAUUGCUGAGCUGCACCCCCAGCUCAGAGUUAUGACUUUUAAACUUGUGGAAGCCAUUGGGAUCUCCUGGUGCUUUUACAGUUGGACAGUCUGAGCUGAUGUCCAAGCCUGACCCUACAUGGAUCAAGUUUCAGCAUGUCGAGUUCUCUCUCACUGAGGAGGUCAUGACUGGAGCCAGUGAAUCAAAUAGACGAUUAACAGGUCUUACGGUUCAUAGACCAUUGCUUAAUUUUACGCUCACCCUCUGAAACUCUUACUCGGCAGACACCUCUGUUGGUCUCUGGUGUUUUUAUUUCUCUUUAAGUCUUACAACAAACUCCUUCCCUUAGCCAUCUCUGGGCAGAAACUCUCCCAGGUUCUUCCUGCAUCAGGGAAGCAGGAGAUAACUUCAGUCCUGUGGAAUUGUUACUGAGAGCAGGCUAUUCCUCCAGGGCUGAUGACAGUGAGAGGAGGAAUUAUGAUCCCUCCCUCCCUCUCUUCCUUCCUUAUUUGCCAUCAUGGAAAUUGAACCUGAUCCUUUGCACUGAGCUACAUUCCCAUUGCUUUUAUUUAUCUUGCUAAGUGGUUAAGUUGUCCAGACUAGGCUUGAACUUGGGAUCCCCGUGUUUCAGCCUCCCAGAGUGCUGGGAUUACAGGCAUGCAUCAUGAUAGCCCGCUGCCUCUUGCAUAUCUGUGGUUCUGGUGCCUAUUACAGUGCCUGUCAUGUCACUAGUGCUCAAGUAAUGUUUACUAAAUAAAUGUGUUAUCUUUGCAUGUGGGAGAAUCAAGAUGGUUUCAAAGGCUCAGCCCUGGCCAUGGAAUUUCAGCCAUAGACUGAAACUCAACAAACACUCUCAUCUCUCUGUAUUUCUUCUACUUAUUUCACCCACCAAAAACUGCAUCUGUGUGUGGAUAUACACCCAGCAUGGCAGACAACCGGCAGUGCUUGGGAGCGGGCUCUUUACACUGGACUCCAGCCUCGCAAGGAGGUUGCAGCAAGCCUGUCCUCUGUCCGCAGCAUAGGUCCAUGCUGAGGCAGGGUGAGGCUUGUCCUCAUGUGCUUGUCUCUGUCAAAGGUUGAGCUUUUGUCUUCUGUAAUGGAAAGGGCUAAAGUACUUCAGAAGUUUUAUGUCUUUCCUGCUCAGUAUCACUUUUUCUACAGCUAUUCAGACUUCAGCAAAGGUAGGCUUGUAGUUCUUUGGCAGAAGGCUGUCAGUGGCCAGCUCUUUCUGAGUACCCUGCUAGUUUUGCAAACUCAAAUGAGCAGUGGUGAUGAUCUUCGGGAAUUCCUGGCAGCCUCCGUGGGUCAGAAGUGAACUGGAGCUGGGCUUCUCCUUCACACCCCUGCCCCAGGUGUUAGGUACCCAUGAAAGUCAUCCCGGAUGAAAGUCUACCGUGCAGUCUUGGUUGUUAGCAAGGAGUCAGGCCUGUAACUCUUGUAAAGCUUGCUGAAGUCUUUGUCCUCCUCGGUGAUUGACAUGAAAAUUUGCUUCAAAGCAGAUAGAACAAUAUUUCUGGAAGAGAAAAAAAAGCCUUUUGGUUUGAACCAACAACAAAGUGCUAUCAAGUGCAGGUCCACACUAAGGAUGACCCUAUAAUUGGUUAAUGCAGGAUAAUUAUGUACAAUUUAAAUCAGAUCACAUACCUAGAACAUGUUUAAAUAAUGUAUGUCUUACCAGUGAAAGUUUAACUUUUUUAUGCUAAUUAUUCCCUCUGGUACAGGUUUGGAGAACAAUGCAGUGAUCUUCCCUUCUCUCUGAGGUGUACGUUCCAGGACCCCCACAGAUGCCAGAAACCGAGGGAAGUACUGGGCCCUAUGUAUAUGAUAAGUUUUAGUGUAUAAAUUUGGCAUGGCCAAGAGCAAAAAUUAAUAAUAAAAUAGAACAAUUAUAACAAGAUAGUAUAAUAAAAGUUAUCUGACUAUGAUCUCUCUCUCCUCCUCUAAAUAUCUUAUUGUACUUGAAUACGAGCCCCAUGACACUGUGGUAUGGGUUUAACCACCACAAUGGUGAAGUGACUAAUGGGCAGGUAGUGUAUACAGAGUGGAAACACUGAAUAGUGUGACAAUUCAUAUGUCAGGCAAGACAGAGAGGGACAGAGAGGGACAGAGAAGGGACAAAGCCAGGCACCAUCACCUCACUUAGAAUACUUUGCCAUUUGAAACGUUAAUCAUUUGUUUCUAGAAUUUUUCACUUAAUAUUUUUGGACCAGGGUUGACUGUGGAGCGGAACUUAAGACAAUGAAUCCAUAUGUAAGGGGAGGGGCACUGUAUUUACAACUGCUUACAGAGACUGUGCUGGGAAAAAUUCCUGGUUUUAUCCCUGCAAUGUUUUAAAAUGCUAUCUAACCACCUUCUGAAAGUUCAGUUGAAGAUUAACACACAGAUACAUUGCCUAGAAGUGGAUUAUAUUGUAGGAAAUAGACUAGAUUAUUCUGGAGAGAUUACAACCCAGUAUUGAGCAUUGAUAAUUUGUUUCUACCAAUAAAGAUAUGAUUAAGUUC